GAAAGAGUAGCUAAUACCGCAUGAGAUCUACGGAUGAAAGCAGGGGACCUUCGGGCCUUGUGCUAUUAGAGCGACUGAUGGCAGAUUAGGUAGUUGGUGGGGUAAAGGCUUACCAAGCCUGCGAUCUGUAGCUGGUCUGAGAGGACGACCAGCCACACUGGGACUGAGACACGGCCCAGACUCCUACGGGAGGCAGCAGUGGGGAAUUUUGGACAAUGGGCGAAAGCCUGAUCCAGCAAUGCCGCGUGCAGGAUGAAGGCCCUCGGGUUGUAAACUGCUUUUGUACGGAACGAAAAGCCUGGGGCUAAUAUGCCCCGNGUCAUGACGGUACCGUAAGAAUAAGCACCGGCUAACU
rnacentral:rRNA from 1 species